CACGUGGGUAACCUGCCCAAGAGAUCGGGAUAACACCUGGAAACAGAUGCUAAUACCGGAUAACAACAGAUGAUGCCUAUCAACUGUUUAAAAGAUGGUUCUGCUAUCACUCUUGGAUGGACCUGCGGUUCAUUAGCUAGUUGGUAGGGUAACGGCCUACCAAGGCGAUGAUGCAUAGCCGAGUUGAGAGACUGAUCGGCCACAUUGGUACUUAGACACGGCCCAAACUCCUACGGGAGGCAGCAGUC
rnacentral:rRNA from 1 species